UGGUCGGACAUCAGGAGGUUAGUGCAAUGGCAUAAGCCAGCUUGACUGCGAGCGUGACGGCGCGAGCAGGUGCGAAAGCAGGUCAUAGUGAUCCGGUGGUUCUGAAUGGAAGGGCCAUCGCUCAACGGAUAAAAGGUACUCCGGGGAUAACAGGCUGAUACCGCCCAAGAGUUCAUAUCGACGGCGGUGUUUGGCACCUCGAUGUCGGCUCAUCACAUCCUGGGGCUGAAGUAGGUCCCAAGGGUAUGGCUGUUCGCCAUUUAAAGUGGUACGCGAGCUGGGUUUAGAACGUCGUGAGACAGUUCGGUCCCUAUCUGCCGUGGGCGCUGGAGAACUGAGGGGGGCUGCUCCUAGUACGAGAGGACCGGAGUGGACGCAUCACUGGUGUUCGGGUUGUCAUGCCAAUGGCACUGCCCGGUAGCUAAAUGCGGAAGAGAUAAGUGCUGAAAGCAUCUAAGCACGAAACUUGCCCCGAGAUGAGUUCUCCCUGAGACUUAGAGUCUCCUGAAGGAACGUUGAAGACGACGACGUUGAUAGGCCGGGUGUGUAAGCGCAGCGAUGCGUUGAGCUAACCGGUACUAAUGAACCGUGAGGCUUAACCUUAC
rnacentral:rRNA from 1 species